UUCACUCCAAUCCAACUAGUAGAUUGCAAGAAAUCUUAAAAACUCCUACUAGAUCUAAAAUUCUACUUUCUAAGACCUUGACCCACUUAAACCUUAAUAUUCCUCAAUUCAACCGUUAGAUCAAGCUCAAAUUCACAACACAUAUUAAACACAACUAUAACCAUAAAUCCACGAAAUUUCACUCAUAGAUCUAUUACAAAACUCUUAAAAUCAUCCAAAAUAUAAACCCUAUUUUAUUUCAUAAAACCCAAGUCAUCUAAAACAAACCUUGACUUUGUAAAGCUCUUAUGAAGUCAUAUCAACUCCAAAUCACUCUAAAUCAAUGUUCAUAGAAAGCCUAUUCAGUUUGCUAUCA
rnacentral:lncRNA from 1 species